CCUGGCCUAAUUAGGUCGGGUAAUUGGAAUGAGUACAAUUUAAAUCCCUUAACGAGGAUCAAUUGGAGGGCAAGUCUGGUGCCAGCAGCCGCGGUAAUUCCAGCUCCAAGAGCAUAUAUUAAAGUUGUUGCAGUUAAAAAGCUCGUAGUUGGAUUUCUGGUUUAAUGCACCUGGCCCGCGGCCUCUAGGCUUGUGAGUGCCGGCGCGCGUUUACCAUCCUUCUAGAAAAUGGCUCUGUCAUUCGCUUGGUGGGGUCAAGAUCUAGAUCUUUUACUUUGAAAAAAUUAGAGUGUUUAAAGCAGGCUUUUGCUAUGAAUACAUUAGCAUGGAAUAAUAAUCUAGGACUUCGGUUCUAUUUUGUUAGUUUCUAUAACUGAAGUAAUGAUUGAUAGGGAUAGUUGGGGGUGCUAGUAUUGGCCGGCCAGAGGUGAAAUUCUUGGAUUCGGUCAAGACUAACUUAUGCGAAAGCAUUCACCAAGGAUGUCUUCUUUAAUCAAGAACGAAAGUUGGGGGAUCGAAGACGAUCAGAUACCGUCGUAGUCUCAACCAUAAACUAUGCCAACUAGGGAUGGGUGAACGUUGCAUUUUCGACUUCAUCCGCACCCUAUGAGAAAUCAAAGUCUUUGGGUUCCGGGGGGAGUAUGGUCGCAAGGCUGAAACUUAAAGGAA
rnacentral:rRNA from 1 species